UUGAUAAAUUACUAUGUGAGGAGCAAGUGUGUGCGGUGCCUGGGAGGUCGAUUGCGGAGAGUUUGAUUGGGGUGCGAGAUGUGUUGUGGCAUUGUAAGGAGGUG